AACGCUAGCUACAGGCUUAACACAUGCAAGUCGAGGGGCAGCAUGAACUUAGCUUGCUAAGUUUGAUGGCGACCGGCGCACGGGUGAGUAACACGUAUCCAACCUGCCGAUGACUCGGGGAUAGCCUUUCGAAAGAAAGAUUAAUACCCGAUGGCAUAGUUCUUCCGCAUGGUGGAACUAUUAAAGAACUUCGGUCAUCGAUGGGGAUGCGUUCCAUUAGGUUGUUGGCGGGGUAACGGCCCACCAAGCCUUCGAUGGAUAGGGGUUCUGAGAGGAAGGUCCCCCACAUUGGAACUGAGACACGGUCCAAACUCCUACGGGAGGCAGCAGUGAGGAAUAUUGGUCAAUGGACGAGAGUCUGAGCCAGCCAAGUAGCGUGAAGGAUGACUGCCCUAUGGGUUGUAAACUUCUUUUAUACGGGAAUAAAGUGAGGCACGUGUGCCUUUUUGUAUGUACCGUAUGAAUAAGGAUCGGCUAACUCCGUGCCAGCAGCCGCGGUAAUACGGAGGAUCCGAGCGUUAUCCGGAUUUAUUGGGUUUAAAGGGAGCGUAGGCGGACGCUUAAGUCAGUUGUGAAAGUUUGCGGCUCAACCGUAAAAUUGCAGUUGAUACUGGGUGUCUUGAGUACAGUAGAGGCAGGCGGAAUUCGUGGUGUAGCGGUGAAAUGCUUAGAUAUCACGAAGAACUCCGAUUG
rnacentral:rRNA from 1 species